rnacentral:misc_RNA from 1 species
GAACUGCGAUACGUAAUGUGAAUUGCAGAAUUCAGUGAAUCAUCAAAUCUUUGAACGCACAUUGCGCUCUCUGGUACUCCGGGGAGCAUGCCCAUUUCAGAAUCAUUUUAAAGUCUCACCCGUUCACGGGUGGAAGCUGGGCCUUUUGGGCGCGCCCAAUGGUCUUAAAUGAAAUGUACGGUUGCUUCGACUGGAGGCAGUUGACGGCCAAAAGUGCAACAGAAGUUAAUUCUAUUUCGCUUUGGGGUUGACUAGCGUCCGUGGACGGUGGCCUACUUAGCAAUAAUCGGUGGGGACGCACCCGGUUGGGGACGUUCCCGCAAAACUGGUCUGAAAUUGGGCAAGAAAACCCGCUGAACUUAA